rnacentral:misc_RNA from 1 species
AACGCACAUUGCGCCCGCCAGUAUUCUGGCGGGCAUGCCUGUCCGAGCGUCAUUUCAACCCUCGGGCCUCCCCUCUGCGGGCGGCCCGGCGUUGGGGCUCAGGUGCCGUCUCUGCUCGGCGCCUGUCCCCUAAAUGCAGUGGCGGCCUCGCCGCUGCCUCCUCCGCGUAGUAGCACAAACCUCGCGGCUGGAAGGCGGCGCGGCCACGCCGUAAAACCCCCAACUUUACCAAGGUUGACCUCGGAUCAGGUAGGAAUACCCGCUGAACUUAA